GAACAUUGGAUUUAAUACUGAAAAACAUGAAGCAUUAACACAAAUGAAAUAAAUUUUAGCCAAAUUGAAAUCAACUUAUUUACAAAUAGGCUUUUAUUUGAACUAGAUAAGUUACGCAGACAGCAUGGAGCGUCACUUCGCUAUCUCCUUAAAUGGUCAUUUUAGCUUCUGUCAAUUAAAGACGACCUUUGUGAUAACAAUAUUCGAAAGCUUAACUUUGGUUUGCGUAAACUUUACAAAGAAAAAUUGAACAUGUUCAAAACAAGAAACGGGACAUACCACAGCAGACAAAAUGAGUUCCUCCAUAAUGUUUACUGUAACUAUCCAAAUGAAAUAAUUGUUGACAUGAACGAAUCAACAGAAAAUAGUACUGUAAAUAAGGAAACUCUUACAUAAUUAGAAAAUGCUUUCAAUAAAGUAACAAUACAGAGCAAAGUAACAAAGACUGAGAAUACAAAACUAAAGAUAGAAAAUAUCAGCCGAGAAAAGAUAAUACAAAACCUAGAGAAAUUGUCUAUCAUUGCAAAACAAAUUAACCAUGAAUCUACUAAGAAAAUAGACACAAAAAAGAAUAUACAAGUCAUAAAAACAAAUAUUAAAUCCUUAGAAAAAAGGUUGCUGCUUGAAAAAAAAUCCAUAUUAAAACAGUUAAAACCAUAUGCAGAAUGGAGAAGAAAAGGCUGAAUUGAAAAAUUAAGUAUUGGGAAGGUAUUGCCAAUAAAACCCGUCACGAACAGCAAUCAGCACUCAAGAAAUACAGAUACAAGAACUCAGAAAGAACUCAGAAAAAUUAAAGGUUAAUGAAGACAAAAUUAAGAAAUAUUCUAAAAUAGUAAAUGAGCAAGCAGAACAGAUUGAUUAUCUUACAGAUUUAAAUGACCGUACAAUUGAACUUACUACCGAAUCCAAAAAAUGGUCAAUACACUUUUAACAGUCAAACAGAUCAGUGUGUAAUGGACCUUCUUGACUGUGGACUUUCAUUUGAGAAAGUUGUACCAGCAAUUAAAAAUGUUUUAUGUAUGUGCGGGUUUAGAUCAAGAUAUAACAUAAGAGGUGAAAGACCUACAAUUGUUCUCUGAAGUUGUCUUUUUAAGGAUGUUCGAUACUCUGUUAAAAAAUAACAAGC
rnacentral:lncRNA from 1 species